AGUGGCGGACGGGUGAGUAACGCGUGAGAAUCUGCCUUGGGGUCGGGGACAACCACUGGAAACGGUGGCUAAUACCGGAUAAGCCGAUUGGUGAAAGAUUUAUUGCCCGAAGAGGAGCUCGCGUCUGAUUAGCUAGUUGGUGAGGUAAGAGCUCACCAAGGCAGCGAUCAGUAGCUGGUCUGAGAGGACGAUCAGCCACACUGGGACUGAGACACGGCCCAGACUCCUACGGGAGGCAGCAGUGGGGAAUUUUCCGCAAUGGGCGAAAGCCUGACGGAGCAAGACCGCGUGAGGGAGGAAUGCUCUUGGGUUGUAAACCUCUUUUCUCAGGGAAGAAGCUCUGACGGUACCUGAGGAAUCAGCCUCGGCUAACUCCGUGCCAGCAGCCGCGGUAAUACGGAGGAGGCAAGCGUUAUCCGGAAUUAUUGGGCGUAAAGCGUCCGCAGGUGGCGAUUCAAGUCUGCUGUCAAAGCACGGGGCUUAACUCCGUAAAGGCAGUGGAAACUGAAUAGCUAGAGUGCCGUAGGGGUAGAGGGAAUUCCCGGUGUAGCGGUGAAAUGCGUAGAGAUCGGGAAGAACAUCGGUGGCGAAAGCGCUCUACUGGACGGCAACUGACACUCAGGGACGAAAGCUAGGGGAGCGAAUGGGAUUAGAUACCCC
rnacentral:rRNA from 1 species